UAGUGCGAUCAUACUAAUACUAAUGCAACAGAUGCCAUCAGAACUUCAAAUUUAAACUAGCUUGGGCAACACUAGUACUAGGAUGGGUGACCUAUUGGGAAGUCCUUAUGAUACACCCC
rnacentral:rRNA from 1 species